GUCCUUUAACUCAGAACUUUGUAGAAAUUCAAAAGAUUUUGUUGAAAAGGACACUUAAAAAUGAAAGCUGUAUACAUUCACCAUAAAGAUAUGUGUAUAAAACAAAAUCCAGAAGUUUCAGUGGUCUUUUUUUUUUUUUUUUUUUGAGAUGGAGUCUCACUCNNNNNNNNNNUUUUUUUUUGAGAUGGAGUCUCACUCCUGUCGUGCAGGCUGGAGUGCAGUGGCGCAAUUUCGGCUCACUCAGCUCAGGAGGUUCGUGCUGCUUGGCAUUCUACUAGAAAGUCUACCUUGUUGGCUCCUCACUUAAGUGCAGAUUCUCUAUUAGAUCUGGAUGCUAGUAAUAGGAUCAUUUUCUAGGGACUCCUAUUGCAUAAAUGUAAAUGUCUGCUGCCCAUCUUGAAGACCAUCGGCAAGCUUUGGUGGGUUUAUAUUCAGUGGCAUUAGGGAUUAAGGCAAACUUAAAAUGAUUCUGAGUGUAAACAGAUAUCAAAGGUGCAGGGUGUGUAGCUAUAAGGGUACCACAUAGGAUUACUAUAUCCAAUUUUUUAGAAUUAUUUGUUAUUUUUCUUCUG
rnacentral:lncRNA from 1 species